AGCUGCGUGGUGAGCACAAAGCGAACUAUUCUUUCGCCUUUUACUAAAGAAUACCGUGUGCACGCCACACUAAGCAGCAUACCCUUAUUUUUGGAGGGCGUCUCUUCUUUGUGAGGAGGC
rnacentral:snRNA from 3 species